AUCCGGCUGACGAGUCUCAAGUGGGACGAAACCUGUGUCCUGGAU
rnacentral:hammerhead_ribozyme from 1 species